GCCGGUUGCAGUGGUGCACACCUGUAAUUCCAGCAGCUCUGGAGGCUGAGACAGGAGGAUUGCGAGUUCAAAGCCAGCCUCAGCCAAAGCAAGGCACUAAGCAACUCAGUGAGACCCUGUCUCUA
rnacentral:sRNA from 1 species